AGAGACAGCAUAGCCGCGGUAAUACAGAGGGUGCGAGCGUUAAUCGGAUUUACUGGGCGUAAAGCGUGCGUAGGCGGCUUCUUAAGUCGGAUGUGAAAUCCCUGAGCUUAACUUAGGAAUUGCAUUCGAUACUGGGAAGCUAGAGUAUGGGAGAGGAUGGUAGAAUUCCAGGUGUAGCGGUGAAAUGCGUAGAGAUCUGGAGGAAUACCGAUGGCGAAGGCAGCCAUCUGGCCUAAUACUGACGCUGAGGUACGAAAGCAUGGGGAGCAAACAGGAUUAGAUACCCCAGUAGUCCCUGUCUCUUAUACA
rnacentral:rRNA from 1 species